rnacentral:rRNA from 1 species
AUUGAACGCUGGCGGCAGGCCUAACACAUGCAAGUCGAACGAGUGGCGGACGGGUGAGUAAUGUUUGGGAAACUGCCUGAGGGGGGGGGAUAACUACUGGAAACGGUAGCUACUAACGCAUACAAUCAGAUGUGCCCAUAUGGGAUUGGCUUGUUGGUGGGUUAAAGGCUCACCAAGGCGACGAUGCCGAGCUGGUCUGAGAGGAUGACCAGCCACACUGGAACGGAGACACGGUCCAGACUCCUACGGGAGGCAGCAGAGGGGAAUAGUGCACAAUGGGCGCAAGCCUGAUGCAGCCAUGCCGCGUGUACGAAGAAGGCCUUCGGGUUGUAAAGUACUUUCAGCGGGGAGGCGUUACCCGCAGAAGAAGCACCGGCUAACUCCGUGCCAGCAGCCGCGGUAAUAC